rnacentral:lncRNA from 1 species
ACAGAAGUUUUUUGCAUCGGAUUGUAGUUAAACAAAAUGAUUAUAGACGACUUGCUAUUACACCCAGCUAUAAAAAAUGAAAAAGGAGAGGUCUACAUGAAAAGGAAAUGUAAUGUGUCAAUAGAAACUCAAACUAAAAGCUGCACGCAAGAUGAACCAUGCCUCUAAAAAUUCUUCAACCACAUCAGGCAGGAAGUAGCCCACCAAACAAUGAAGGCGUGCAACAGACCAGCGACAAUUAUUCAUGGAAACACUAAGCGGCUUCCAAGAAGAUAUAUUAAAGUGACUAUCAUGUAGCCCCAUUAAUUGCAUGUACAGUUUGACUUGAAGUACCUAAGAACAACAUGAAUAAAUCUCAAGAAAGUUUGACUUGAAGUACCUAAUAAGAACAAUAUGAAUAAAUCUCAAGAAAUUUUGGCAAACUAUGAGCUGAAGAUGCAGAUUUUAGUUUCCGUAAAUGACCGAGAUGCAUCUGUAGCUCCAACAUAAAAGAAGUACAACCAACCAUAUAGAUUUGAGAAUACGGUACUUGUCAAGGAUAAAUGGGGGCUAACACAUCUAGCACCAAGUCUGAAUCAACGUGACACUUAUCAGGUUUCUAGAGCAUCUAAUUAAGGGAGCAAAAAAAGAACAAAUUCUAUGUGAAAACGCUAUUAAUGCCUUCAGGUAAAUGCUUCUUCGUGUAUCAUAUAUGGCAGUUUGAUAAAAAAAGUAAGAAAACAAUAUAGCAAAUUAACAUAUAAUUAUGUUUAUCAAGAAGGCAGAAGAUAAUCGAUGAACUAUAACUGGUGUAAAGCUCAUCGCCAAUGUGAAGUAUUAACAGGCAAUAGCAGCCUUAUUAUAUUAGAAAGGAAGUAAAGUGUGAGACCCUGGGUUGUUUUAUUUAACUACAUAAGAAAAGCUACAGGUAGGCCCGCCAUUCUUGUAAGCGCCACUAAUUGUGAGGAUACAUGUGUACAGUCACACGAUUGAAACGGUGAAAAGAACAGAAAACCGACCAAAGACACUUUCCAGAAUGCAACAGAUGAGGAAAAUAUCGUCUAGGAAACAAACAUGAUUAGUACAACAUCACCUCAUUCAAAACCAUUUAAACAAUGGUUUGGUCCAGCAGAAAUUCAUAAAAAAUUGUAAUGUGUACCUGAGAAAAUGCGACCAUUAGGAUGAGUUCUGGAAGUCCAAUUUCCACACACUUGUCUACCUGUAUUUCAUCAUGUA